GGGCAUGAGAGAACAGAAGCGGAGGAAGACCCUGAGAGUUGGCUUCCUAAGAGAGAAAAGGGAGCUUAUUUCCCAGAGUGGUGUUCCAGGAUUGCUGCAGGACAUGUGACAAUGGAAUUACUUCUAUGAGAGCCCGAUUUUGGGGCUCAAAGUUGUCCUCAAGCCCAGAGAUGGAUGCAGGGACUCUCCAAGGUAGAAGGGCCUUCUGGCUACCAGCCACCCAUGCAAAGUGAAACUCCAGGCACGAAAAAGACAUGGGGAGUCUUGGCAAAUACUGAAGCCACUGCUGGAAAAGAAGGAAGGCCCCAUGUGAGCCUGCCCUCACCAUUCCAUGGAGACAGAUGAGCCCGUGGGAAGCUGAAUGUGCUAGGGGAGAUCUUUGUGCCCUGCUAACCAGUGGCCUGCCAGAAGCCCAAAAAGUGCCAGGAGGGAGCAGCGACAGGAAAGCAGAGAAUUCUGGAAAAUAAGGUUUCCCAGCAUCAUCUGCCUGGGUGAAUGUCGUUGGCAGGUAGACAUCUGUCUCAAUUUCUAAAGAAUGAUCUGAUUUUCUAAAAAAGGAGAAAGAAGGGAAGGAGGGAAGAAGGAAGGAAGGGAAAAAAAGGGAAAAGUAAAGAAAAAAUAAAA
ensembl:lncRNA novel transcript